rnacentral:misc_RNA from 1 species
ACCUCAGCUUUUAUUGGAAAGGUACCACUAUAACUAUAUUCAUACUAUCUGCUAGUCAUUAUUAGAAAAAUGAGAAAGUAGCACUUAUAAAAUUCAUAGUCCAGUGACUAUGUAACCAUAUGGAGAAGUAUAGCUAUGAUAGAUCAGGAUUUGUGGUUUGGUGGGAAUUCAUAAACUUGGCAUUCUUGGAUGUCAGAGUGUAUGCGAAGGUGUUCAGAAUUACGUUUUGGUUUUAUGGGAAGAUGGACCAAGACAUAUGGAGAAUAGACUGCUGGAACUCUUAGACCACAAUUAUACCAUAGAAUCCAAAUUGGGUUUCAUAUUUAAUUGAAGAACACUUGUGUUUAAAGAAUUAAGAAAUAAGAUUUGGUUAUAAAAUAAUAUAAAACAUAAAUUAAAACACACACGCCUGCAACCCCAAAGAAAAACAAAUAGAGAGAAUAGCAUAAGGAAAAAAAAAAAUGAAAAGAAGGAAACAAUGUGGAGUUGGUUGGCAUAAACUAGGAUUGUCACUUUGCUUGAUCCAUUGACGUGAAAAUACAACUUGUGCAUUCUUUAAACUGGUGAAUAGAUUAUGAGACCAUCAUUUUUGAAAAUUCAGUUGUUGAUGUGCAACAACCUUUCUUCUUGCAAUCCAAACUCCCAUUAGGGUGUGAGGGUGCUUGGAGUUGCACGGGUUCCUGGUAACUAACAGUUGGUCCACAACCCAGAGAGAUUGGUGAUAACCCCUAACUCUUGACUGGCAUCAAAGAUAAGUCUAGUGCCUUAUAUAGGCUUUGCCUUGUAUUUGUGAUGCUUUCAACUCGAAUCAUGAACCACAUAACCCGUACCAGAGUAAUCAUGUAUCUUCUUUUGCAAUCAGUCUAACCAUUUAAAACAGCUUUAAGUCAUCUUUGCCUUUUAUUGUAUUUAGGGGUUAAGCCUAUUUAUCAUAGUUGUCUUGAUGUUUCUCUUUUCAUCUUAUAUGCUUUUAAGACACAUAGCACUCAUUUUCCUGUGUUCUUCACAUUUUUUGAGAAGUUCAUAUGACUAAAUUCAUUGUGCAAUGAUCAUACUAAUU